UCCGUAGGCGGGCGUCUAAGUCAGUGGUGAAAUCUUACAGCUCAACUGUAAAAUUGCCAUUGAUACUGGAUGUCUUGAAUUAGUGUGAAGUGGUUAGAAUGUAUAGUGUAGCGGUGAAAUGCAUAGAUAUUACACAGAAUACCAAUUGCGAAGGCAGAUCACUAACACUAUAUUGACGCUGAGGGACGAAAGCGUGGGGAGCGAACAGGAUUAGAUACCCUGGUAGUCC
rnacentral:rRNA from 1 species